UACGUAGGUGGCAAGCGUUGUCCGGAUUUACUGGGCGUAAAGAGCGCGCAGGCGGCCAAGUCAGUCGAAUGUGAAAGCCCCCGGCUCAACUGGGGAGGGUCAUUCGAUACUGCUCGGCUCGAAGACAGGAGAGGGAAGUGGAAUUCCCGGUGUAGUGGUGAAAUGCGUAGAUAUCGGGAGGAACACCGGUGGCGAAGGCGACUUCCUGGCCUGUUCUUGACGCUGAGGCGCGAAAGCUAGGGGAGCAAACGGG
rnacentral:rRNA from 1 species